CAAAGGUGGCAGGACGUGAUGCCAUGGCAGGCAUUACCGCUUCCGCCUUGUCUCUUAAGACACUCUGUAAGAUAAACCAGCCUCUCUGAGACACGAGGAUACACCAUGUGGCAACGCCUCGGGAGGAAGUUAUGAGCCUCUUACCAGCACUGACUCAUCGGAACCGUCAGAACCACAAGCCAACCACACCUUCUGAUGCUCAGUGAAGCUCUGAUGACCGUAACCUGAGACCUCGAGCCAGACCCAAAUUCCUGACCCACAUGAACUAUGUACCAGUGUUUUGCCUGCAGGUAUUUCUGUGUGAGGGUGUCAGAUACCCUGGAACUGGAGUCACAGACAGUUGUGUGCUGCCACGUGGGUGGGGGAAGCAAAUCCAGGUCCUCCAGUCAGUGUUCUCAACAGCUGAGCCCUCUCUCCAGACUUCUUGGAGAAUAAAGGAGCACCUACGAAGACCGCCCUGAGUCUCAGAUCUUUGAACAAUGUUAGAACUGUUGAGCCAAGCAUAAGGCUGUCCAUCUACUGCCCCAGCACAGGGAAGGCAAAGGCACGAAGACGGGGAAUUCAAGGUCAUUCUCAGAAACAUAGCGAGCUCUAGGAUCUCCUUAGCUAGAUAAACACGAAGAGGACAUUCUUCUUGCAGUACCAUUUCUGGGUUCCAGGAGACUUUAAAACCUUGUCUGUCUAAUCACUAAUCUCAAUUAAAUUACUUCUUGACCCGA